AUUACUUUCAUAGAUGAAUCGACAUUAGUUAUAUAUGUACUGAACGAUCAACAUUAUAUUAAUAAUGUAAUGGCCUAUAACAAUGACGCCAAUUGAAUUGGAGGUAUGUGUAGGAAUAUAACAAUUACAGCAUCUACAACUUGGUACUAAAUAAUCUUUGAUCACUUGAUGAAUUCCUUUUAAUGCCAAGGCACUUCUGAAUAUUGUCCCAUGUGUGAUCACAGCAGCAACCAACAUUUGCUUGUCAAUUUAUGGGUAUGAUUCUACAUGAAUUUACAAACUUCGCACCCGUUCCUACACAAAAAUUUUGCCGCUUUCUGCAUAGAAUUGGCGGUUGCAUCCCAUACACACGCAUGUUCAGGCAUAUGGAGUUAGUGCUGGUCCAAAAAUUUUCAAAUGAAGACCUGGAGUUCCUGAGGAUCAUUUGGCUUCUAAUUUUAACAGCUGGUGAGCCAUUCUUUCCGGUUAUAAUCUCUCCAGGAAUCUGCAAGAUCUUAGAAGCACUAAGAUUUUCAUCUUUAUAAAUCCUCUCCAAGCUCUCCACUGGGAUCUCGCCCUUUUUACUGUUCACAGUAACUUCCUGAUCUUCUUGUUCAUUUUUUAUAAUUCUCUUGGCUUCACUUGCUAGACCAAUGGCGUGCCAUGCAUCUGCAACAAGCUGGAUGGUGCUCUUCUCAGGAAAGAUGCCCUUCUCUUCCAUAACUUGCAGCAACUCUUCUGCUUUCCAUGGCUGCCUUGCUUCUGCAUAACCCCAUAUCAGGGUCUCAAAAGUUUUCAAAUUGGGCGAAAUCCCAAUUUCACACAUUUUCUCAUAAACCUUAAUUGCAUUCUCCAUUUUUCCAGCACUGCACCAUCCACUGAUAAUGGUGGUGCAUAUGACAACAUUUGGAAGCACAUCAGAUUUGCCCAUGGAAGUCAAGACCAACUCUGCCUUCUCAGGUUCUCCAGCACGCACAUAUCCUUUGGCAAGAAUGCUAAAUGCAUGGAUGUCAGGUUCUAUUCCAGCCUUUACCAUGUCAUUGAAGAUGUCUUGGCAUUUGUCCAUGAGCCCUGCUGAGCUCCAAGCAUUCAUGAUUGUGCUAAAUGUUAUAACAUCUGGCUUGACCCCAUAUUCUUCCAUCAAAGUUAAUGCCUGUGCAAUAUAUGGUAGUUCCAAAAAUUAUUGAGAAAAUCCAAUGUACAAGUGCUCUAGGAGUUGGAAAGCACUGGAAUAAACAUUUAGCUAGAACUUAUUUUCUUUCU
rnacentral:misc_RNA from 1 species